rnacentral:rRNA from 1 species
UACUUAGUGGCAGACGGGUGAGUAACAUGUGGGUAUCUACCCUUUGGCCUGGAAUAACACGAGGAAACUUGUGCUAAUACCGGAUAAGUCUUUACGGAGAAAGCUUUAUGCACCAUUGGAUGAGCCCGCACUUGAUUAGUUUGUUGGUAGGGUAAUGGCCUACCAAGACUAUGAUCAAUAGCUGAUUUGAGAGGAUGAUCAGCCACAUUGGGACUGAGACACGGCCCAAACUCCUACGGGAGGCAGCAGUGGGGAAUCUUGCACAAUGGAGGAAACUCUGAUGCAGCGAUGCCGCGUGAGUGAAGAAGGCCUUUGGGUUGUAAAGCUCUUUCGUCGGGGAAGAAAAUGACUGUACCCGAAUAAGAAGGUCCGGCUAACUUCGUGCCAGCAGCCGCGGUAAUACGAAGGGACCCAGCGUAGUUCGGAAUUACUGGGCUUAAAGAGUUCGUAGGUGGUUGAAAAAGUUG